UUUUUUUUUUUUUUUUUUUUUUUUUCCAAAUGGCGUGAUGUUA
rnacentral:ribozyme from 1 species